rnacentral:tRNA from 1 species
AGCUGUUUAGCUUAAUGAUUACAGCACUCAGCUGGUAUGUGAGGGAUAUAGGUUCAAGUCCUGUAGCCACCU